AAAUGGUUCAAAAAACGUUCGGGCUUCCAUCUCUUUCCCAGCCUACAUCUCAACCUGGGCUGGCAAGAAAUGGCAGUCUACACGUUUUUCAACCAAA
rnacentral:pre_miRNA from 15 species